UCCCUCUUAGCUCAGUUGGUAGAGCGCGUCACUAGUAUACUCCUCUGCAAUCAUAUAAUGACGAGGUCAGUCGUUCAAGUCGGCUAGAGGGAA